ensembl:lncRNA
GAGUGAACAGCCGUCAGUUUCACUUCGGCAGCUUCUGUGAACUGAGAGGCAUGCAACUGUCAGGUCCAGGGAAGAGUUUAAGUGGAGCUGGAACUUCGAUCACAAAUCCCGAGAAGCCAGUGUAGAAAGGAGUCUCCUGGGCCUUAGAUUUCCUCUUGGCCUGCCUUCUUCUCUGAAAGUCAGACCCCACAGAUCUACUCCCUUCAAGACUCCUCAAAAUGUCAGUAAGCAACAAGAGGGAAAGGCUGCUUCAACCCAUCAGUGAGCUUUCACUGGCACCAACUACUACAUCUUUUGCUCUCCAAUAUCUGAGCCUGUUUUGUGCCUCCUGGCUCAUCAUCACCAGGAUUUUCAAUGGCUCCAACCGAAUCAUUUGAAUUUUGAAACAUCUUGGUCAAAAAACAUUUAUAAAAAGAUUUCACAUGUCUAUCAGGGCAAUUGAAACUAUCAUCAAGGCGAAAAGACAGCCUUCAGAAUGGGAGAAAACAAUAGCAAAUGAAGCAACUGACAAACAACUAAUC